rnacentral:rRNA from 1 species
ACCUACGGGGGGCAGCAGGCGCGAAAACUCUACAAUGCAGGCAACUGCGAUAGGGGAACAUCGAGUGAUCCUCAUAUUGGGGGUCUGUCCCACUGUCUAAAAAACGGUGGUUAGCAAGGGCCGGGCAAGACCGGUGCCAGCCGCCGCGGUAAUACCGGCGGCUCGAGUGGUGGCCGAUAUUAUUGAGUCUAAAGGGUCCGUAGCCGGCUUUGCAAGUCUCUCGGGAAAUCCAGCGGCUUAACCGUUGGUCGUCCGGGGGGUACUACAUUGCUUGGGACUGGGAGAGGUAGGAGGUACUCAGGGGGUAGGAGUGAAAUCCUGUAAUCCUCUGGGGACCACCGGUGGCGAAGGCGUCCUACCAGAACAGGUCCGACGGUGAGGGACGAAAGCUAGGGGCACGAACCGGAUUAGAUACCCCGGU